rnacentral:rRNA from 1 species
GUGACUGAGCGGCGGACGGGUGAGUAACGCGUGGGUAACCUGCCUCAUACAGGGGGAUAACAGUUGGAAACGGCUGCUAAUACCGCAUAAGCGCACAGUACCGCAUGGUACCGUGUGAAAAACUCCGGUGGUAUGAGAUGGACCCGCGUCUGAUUAGGUAGUUGGUGGGGUAACGGCCUACCAAGCCGACGAUCAGUAGCCGACCUGAGAGGGUGACCGGCCACAUUGGGACUGAGACACGGCCCAAACUCCUACGGGAGGCAGCAGUGGGGAAUAUUGCACAAUGGGGGAAACCCUGAUGCAGCGACGCCGCGUGGGCGAUGAAGUAUUUCGGUAUGUAAAGCUCUAUCAGCAGGGAAGAAAAUGACGGUACCUGACUAAGAAGCACCGGCUAAAUACGUGCCAGCAGCCGCGGUAAUACGUAUGGUGCAAGCGUUAUCCGGAUUUACUGGGUGUAAAGGGAGCGUAGACGGAGUGGCAAGUCUGAUGUGAAAACCCGGGGCUCAACCCCGGGACUGCAUUGGAAACUGUCAAUCUGGAGUACCGGAGAGGUAAGCGGAAU